CGCGUAGGCGGUGUUUUAAGUGGGAUGUGCAAUCCCCGGGCUUAACCUGGGAACUGCAUCCCAGACUGGAACGCUAGAGUACUGGAGAGGGUGGUGGAAUUCCACGUGUAGCGGUGAAAUGCGUAGAGAUGUGGAGGAACACCAGUGGCGAAGGCGGCCACCUGGACAGUAACUGACGCUGAGGCGCGAAAGUGUGGGUAGCAAACAGGAUUAGAUACCCUGGUAGUCCACGCUGUAAACGAUGAACACUUGGUGUGGCGGGAGUUGACCCCUGCCGUGCCGAAGCUAACGCGCUAAGUGUUCCGCCUGGGGAGUACGGUCGCAAGGCUGAA
rnacentral:rRNA from 1 species